rnacentral:rRNA from 1 species
AUUGAACGCUGGCGGCAGGCCUAACCCAUGCAAGUCGAGCGGAGCGGCGGACGGGUGAGUAAUGCCUAGGAAUCUGCCUGGUAUUGGGGGAUAACGUCCGGAAACGGGCGCUAAUACCGCAUACUAUCAGAUGAGCCUAGGUCGGAUUAGCUAGUAGGGGGGGUAACGGCUCACCUAGGCGACGCUCCCUAGCUGGUCUGAGAGGAUGACCAGCCACCGUGGAACAGAGACCCUGACCAGACUCCUACGAGAGGAAGCAGUGGGGAAUAUUGAACAAGGGGCGCAAGCCUGAUGCAGCCAUGCCGCGUGUGUGAAGAAGGCCUUCGGGUUGUAAAGCACUUUCAGCGGGGAGGCGUUACCCGCAGAAGAAGCAACGGCUAACGACGUGCCAGCAGCCGCGGUAAUUC